CAACUCUCCUCGCCAGAUGGCGCACGGACGUAGGAAUCACGUGACGUUUCCAAGAUGUCGUCUGGUGGAGAAACAUUAGAACCAUGCUUGCUAAGUCAAGAAAAACUAGACAGAACUUCUCCCGAGUUAUGGCCUGAACAGAUUCCUGGUGUGCUGGAAUUUGUUGCAAUAGCUUCACCAACCACAUCUGUAGAUAAUAAUCAGCCAGAGUGGUUAAAAGACUUGGAUCAGGAAGAUGUUAACAUGCUACAAGGAUUUGGAAGUCUAACGGCAGCAGCAUUGUUAGAAAAAGUUAAGGAUUUACAGAAUUUAGCAUAUCAGCUUGGUUUAGAAGAAGCUCAUGAAAUGACAAGGGGAAAGUUCUUAAAUAUAUUAGAAAAAGCACCCAGAAGGAGAAAAUGAGUUUGAUUAAAUGUCAUUGCACCUUGAGGGAGUGGAUGAAGAUUGACGUCAUUGUUAACCUCAUGGCAUGCAGUAAAACGGACGACGGUCACUGUCACGUGAUUGCGAUACAGCACUCCUCUUCCGAACCUCACAUUCACCGGAUCGCCAUGGAGAGAAGGUGCGACCUGCACAGGUGGUGCUCGUCCCCCGCUCACCUGUCCGACAGCUCCUACUUUAUCUUGAGUGCUGCACAUCCCUGCUCCUCCGUUAGGAACGUCGCCACGCAGACGGUGGACAGAAGUCAGUCAGAAAACGCACACAGGCAGCACUCGCCUAGGACAUCGGAGGGUCCUCUACCGGAUUUGGUACAAGCGAGGUCCACGAGAGAGAGGAGAAGUAACAUGGCGUACGCGGGGAGGAUGUUGAGAAGUAUGGCUGACGAUUUUGAUUCCUAUUCUCGAAGCACACUUCAAGCCGAACUUGAGGGUUUCUCUCCGCUCAGCUGGUUGAGAAGUCUUUACCAUUUGAUCUUUCGGUGACCGUGACCGAAGGAGUGAUAAAGAACCCCGUCCUUUUUUUAGUAUUUCAGUCACGUUGGUGACUUCGACUGCCAUGGACAAUUAUGAGAACCCGUUGAACACGUUUGCAAAAGUGAAUUUCACUUUCUUUUUUUUUUUUAUUUGGUCCUUUUCUUUUCGAAAACGUAACAUUACUUUCCACUUCCAAAAAAAAAACCACCAACCCAACAGAUUGAAAUUUUCGUGUCUGUGCCAGUCAACAUCAUUAAUAUAUAUAUAUACACAUUAGCAGGCUAAAUCUAGUCACUUUUUGGUCACACGAGCUCCUUCCCAACAUCGAAGGGGGCUCCCAUUUUCCUCCUCGAUGAUCCGGAAUUUUCGGAUAUUCGAGGUGAGCUCCUACUUAAUGCUUCUCUACUUUUAAUGACUCCUUCCCAACGGUUCCCUCUCGCAAUCUACACUGCCAAAACGAACAAAUUUGCCAAAAAAAAUAUACCCGUUUAGACUAAAAAAAAAAAAAAUUGCCAAUUUUUAGCUUCAUCCCAAAAUAGGUGCCAUUUUUAUUAUUAUUAUUUCUUUGUAAUCUCUUAAUUAUUUCUAAUUAUUAAACCGCAAAUAAACAAAAAAAAA
rnacentral:misc_RNA from 1 species